GACGAACGCUGGCGGCGUGCCUAAUACAUGCAAGUCGAACGCUUCUUUCCUCCCGAGUGCUUGCACUCAAUUGGAAAGAGGAGUGGCGGACGGGUGAGUAACACGUGGGUAACCUACCCAUCAGAGGGGGAUGACACUUGGAAACAGGUGCUAAUACCGCAUAACAGUUUAUGCCGCAUGGCAUAAGAGUGAAAGGCGCUUUCGGGUGUCGCUGAUGGAUGGACCCGCGGUGCAUUAGCUAGUUGGUGAGGUAACGGCUCACCAAGGCCACGAUGCAUAGCCGACCUGAGAGGGUGAUCGGCCACACUGGGACUGAGACACGGCCCAGACUCCUACGGGAGGCAGCAGUAGGGAAUCUUCGGCAAUGGACGAAAGUCUGACCGAGCAACGCCGCGUGAGUGAAGAAGGUUUUCGGAUCGUAAAACUCUGUUGUUAGAGAAGAACAAGGACGUUAGUAACUGAACGUCCCCUGACGGUAUCUAACCAGAAAGCCACGGCUAACUACGU
rnacentral:rRNA from 1 species